GUAGGUGAACCUGCGGAAGGAUCAUUAUCGAGUUAGGGUCUUCUAGGCCCCAUCUCCAACUCUUGUCUGCCUUGAAACGUUGCUUCGACGGGCCCGUCUUUCACCGGACCGCCAGAGAUUUUGUCUCCGGCCCGCGCCCGUCAACAACCGCUUUUAAACCCUUUCCACCAUGUCUAGACAAACCAAAAUUUAUUAAAACUUUCAACAACGGAUCUCUUGGUUCUGGCAUCGAUGAAGAACGCAGCAUCUG
rnacentral:misc_RNA from 1 species